AUUGAACGCUGGCGGCAUGCCUUACACAUGCAAGUCGAACGGCAGCACGGGAGCAAUCCUGGUGGCGAGUGGCGAACGGGUGAGUAAUAUAUCGGAACGUGCCCAGUCGUGGGGGAUAACGUAGCGAAAGCUACGCUAAUACAGCAUACGAUCUAUGGAUGAAAGCGGGGGAUCGCAAGACCUCGCGCGAUUGGAGCGGCCGAUACCAGAUUAGGUAGUUGGUGAGGUAAAGGCUCACCAAGCCGAAGAUCUGUAGCUGGUCUGAGAGGACGACCAGCCACACUGGGACUGAGACACGGCCCAGACUCCUACGGGAGGCAGCAGUGGGGAAUUUUGGACAAUGGGCGCAAGCCUGAUCCAGCAAUGCCGCGUGCAGGAUGAAGGCCUUCGGGUUGUAAACUGCUUUUGUACGGAACGAAACGGCGAGCUCUAAUACAGUUUGCUAAUGACGGUACCGUAAGAAUAAGCACCGGCUAACUACGUGCCAGCCGCCGCCGUAA
rnacentral:rRNA from 1 species